ACAAAAGCGAUGAAAGGGAGAGUAUUCCGUUCUUAUGUUUCAGCGAGAGCCGUUGGUGAGAGGGUUCACACAAAGGGCAGGAAGAAGGACACCUUGGAGCUUCCGUUUGUUCAAGAACGGACGUAUAGCUGCGUUAAAGCGUUAGAGUGAUCCGGCACGAAAGUGUUCGGAUAAUUAGGGUGGUAUCACGGUAAAAGUCGUCCCUUAC
rnacentral:ncRNA from 1 species